rnacentral:rRNA from 1 species
UACAGAGGGUGCAAGCGUUAAUCGGAAUUACUGGGCGUAAAGCGCACGUAGGCGGCUUUGUAAGUUAGAGGUGAAAGCCCAGGGCUUAACCCUGGAAUUGCCUUUAAGACUGCAUCGCUAGAAUUGUGGAGAGGUAAGUGGAAUUCCGAGUGUAGAGGUGAAAUUCGUAGAUAUUCGGAAGAACACCAGUGGCGAAGGCGACUUACUGGACACAUAUUGACGCUGAGGUGCGAAAGCGUGGGAAGCAAACAGG